UCCCUGGUUGCUCAGACAGUAAAGCAUCUGUCUACAAUGUGGGAUACCCAGGUUCGAGCCCUGGUUUGGGAA
rnacentral:tRNA from 1 species